UACGUAGGGGGCAAGCGUUGUCCGGAAUCAUUGGGCGUAAAGAGCGUGUAGGCGGCCAGAUAAGUCCGCUGUGAAAUCUCGAGGCUCAACUUCGAGCUGUCGGUGGAAACUGUCUGGCUAGAGUCCGGAAGAGGAGAAUGGAAUUCCUGGUGUAGUGGUGAAAUGCGCAGAUAUCAGGAAGAACACCCGUGGCGAAGGCGGUUCUCUGGGACGGUACUGACGCUGAGACGCGAAAGCGUGGGGAGCGAACAGG
rnacentral:rRNA from 1 species